UACCCAGCCCCACAUCUGUACCCAAUUUGCACAAAGGAUUCUUGUCAUUUUCUGGGGCUGAAACAAAACCCUGGUUCAGCAAGCCCCACAACUUUGGAGGGCUGAAAUUUGAAGCAAAGUCUUUCAGACUGGUUUUGCCUCCGACAGAAACAUUUCUUGCCGUAAUUCCAGAGUUCCUAUCUUCCAAAUGCUAAGCAUGUUCUCAGCCCCAGCCACACAUGGUUGAAAAUGAGCCUGGGGCAACGUCAAGAAGAAGCUGCAACAUUUCUUUAAGAAACUCUGAAGCUACCCAACUGGGAGGGAAGAGAAAGGAAGUGUUCCGGGUGUUUAUAGAGAAAAGGUGCCAGAUCCUGCUACCAGUUUCCUGUUUCUAUAAAAAUUGUGGGAACUCAGAUUGCUCAGCCCUCAGUUAACUUGGCUUAAAACCAGCCAAUGGACUGAAAAG